UACGGGGGAGCAAGCGUUGUUCGGAUUUACUGGGCGUAAAGGGCGCGUAGGCGGCCUCUGCAAGUCGACUGUGAAAUCUCCGGGCUUAACCCGGAAAGGUCAGCCGAUACUGCAGGGGCUAGAGUGCAGAAGGGGCAAGCUGGAAUUCUCGGUGUAGCGGUGAAAUGCGUAGAUAUCGAGAGGAACACCUGCGGCGAAGGCGGGUGCUGGGCUGACACUGACGCUGAGGCGCGAAAGCUAGGGGAGCGAACGGG
rnacentral:rRNA from 1 species